rnacentral:rRNA from 1 species
GACGAACGCUGGCGGCGUGCUUAACACAUGCAAGUCGUACGGUAAGGCCCUUUCGGGGGUCCACGAGUGGCGAACGGGUGAGUAACACGUGAGUAACCUGCCCACCACUUUUUGAUAACGCUAGGAAACUGGUGCUAAUACUGGAUAUGUGCUCCUGCUGCAUGGUGGGGGUUGGAAAGCUCCGGCGGUUGUGGAUGGACUCGCGGCCUAUCAGCUUGUUGGUGGGGUAGUGGGCUACCCAGGCGGCGACGGGUAGCCGGCCUGAGAGGGUGACCGGCCACAAUGGGACUGAGGUACGGCCCAGACGCCUACGGGAGGCAACAGGGGGGAAUAUUGCACAAUGGGCGCGAGCCUGAUGCAGCAACGCCGCGUGCGGGAUGACGGCCUUCGGGUUGUAAACCGCCUUCAGCAGGGAAGAAACUUUUUGUGACGGUACCUGCAGAAGAAGCACCGGCUAACUACGUG